UGCCCAGCAACUCCUAUCCCUACCUCUUCGUGGUACUGGCCCCGGCCAUUAACCUUAGGGAAGAUCUGGUAACCAACAUCGGUGGUAACUUUGGUCGUAUGUUGACAGGGAAAG
rnacentral:ribozyme from 1 species